rnacentral:rRNA from 1 species
CCGCAGGGCGCUUUGCGCGACAGCGCAAAGGCAGGCGGUUUCGCGUAGCGAAAGCGAAUGCUUUGGGGUGGGGUGACUGCGUACCUUUUGUAUAAUGGGUCAGCGACUUAUAUUCUGUAGCAAGGUUAACCGAAUAGGGGAGCCGGAGGGAAACCGAGUCUUAAUUGGGCGUUAAGUUGCAGGGUAUAGACCCGAAACCCGGUGAUCUAGCCAUGGGCAGGUUGAAGGUUGGGUAACACUAACUGGAGGACCGAACCGACUAAUGUUGAAAAAUUAGCGGAUGACCUGUGGCUGGGGGUGAAAGGCCAAUCAAACCGGGAGAUAGCUGGUUCUCCCCGAAAGCUAUUUAGGUAGCGCCUCGUGAAUUCAUCUCCGGGGGUAGAGCACUGUUUCGGCUAGGGGGCCAUCCCGGCUUACCAACCCGAUGCAAACUGCGAAUACCGGAGAAUGUUAUCACGGGAGACACACGGCGGGUGCUAACGUCCGUCGUGAAGAGGGAAACAACCCAGACCGCCAGCUAAGGUCCCAAAGUCAUGGUUAAGUGGGAAACGAUGUGGGAAGGCCCAGACAGCCAGGAUGUUGGCUUAGAAGCAGCCAUCAUUUAAAGAAAGCGUAAUAGCUCACUGGUCGAGUCGGCCUGCGCGGAAGAUGUAACGGGGCUAAACCAUG